rnacentral:rRNA from 1 species
GAUGAACGCUGGCGGCGUGCCUAAUACAUGCAAGUCGAGCGAACAGACGAGGAGCUUGCUCCUCUGACGUUAGCGGCGGACGGGUGAGUAACACGUGGAUAACCUACCUAUAAGACUGGGAUAACUUCGGGAAACCGGAGCUAAUACCGGAUAAUAUAUUGAACCGCAUGGUUCAAUAGUGAAAGACGGUUUUGCUGUCACUUAUAGAUGGAUCCGCGCCGCAUUAGCUAGUUGGUAAGGUAACGGCUUACCAAGGCAACGAUGCGUAGCCGACCUGAGAGGGUGAUCGGCCACACUGGAACUGAGACACGGUCCAGACUCCUACGGGAGGCAGCAGUAGGGAAUCUUCCGCAAAGGGCGAAAGCUUGACGGAGCAACGCCGCGUGAGUGAUGGAGGUCUUCGGAUCGUAAAACUCUGUUAUUAGGGAAGAACAAAUGUGUAAGUAACUAUGCACGUCUUGACGGUACCUAAUCAGAAAGCCACGGCUAACUACGUG